CAGAUAGAUAGAUGGUAGCAGCUCUCCAACCAUUUUUAAUUUUUAGAAUGAGCUUGCUCUUACUCUAUCCUCUCUACGUUUAUUCUUUUUAAAAAUUUGUGAGAUGAUAUAAAUUGUUGGAGUAAAACAAACAUGAUAGUUAUGAAUAACCAUCCAUCAUGUGUUGAAAAAUAGAGGCAGAGAACAUCUUAUCCAAACAUUAAUAAUACAUAUAUAUUCAGUGACUAGAAAGGUAGAGAAUUUAUAGUUGUAUUGUUUAGUGUUGAUGCAUAAAAGUAUUGUGUGUGUAAACUGACGACUUGUAUGAUAAAUCAAUUUUCAAAAAUUAACGAGUAUUAGUGUUGAGAGGAUAAAUUGAUUAAGUCGUCUAGCCAUUAUUUCAUUUUU
rnacentral:lncRNA from 1 species